AUUGAACGCUGGCGGCAGGCCUAACACAUGCAAGUCGAACGCGUGGCGGGCGGGUGAGUAAUGUCUGGGAAACUGCCUGAUGGAGGGGGAUAACUACUGGAAACGGUAGCUAAUACCGCAUACCAUCGGAUGUGCCCAGAUUGGAUUAGCUAGUAGGUGGGGUAAAGGCUAACCUAGGAGACGAUCCCUAGCUGGGCUGAGAGGAUGGCCAGCCCCACUGGAACUGAGACACGGUCCAGACUCCUACGGGAGGCAGCAGUGGGGAAUAUGGCGCAAUGGGCGAAAGCCUGAUGCAGCAAGGCCGCGUGUAUGAUGAAGGCCUUCGGGUUGUAAAGUACUUUCAGUGGGGAGGCGUUACCUGCAGAAGAAGCACCGGCUAACUCCGUGCCAGCAGCCGCGGUAAUAC
rnacentral:rRNA from 1 species